CUGUAUAUCCUGGGAGACUGCUCAAGGUUAACCUCCAAAUCAAUGAUUCCAUUUGCUACACUGUCAAUUUUGCUUCUUUCCACCCCCACGAUGGGUUUUAAUUCUUGGGUUGCCAUCCAGUCUUAUCUCAUCUCUCUUUUCCCAUCCUCCCAACUUUUCAUCUGAGUCUUUUUUCUGUGUGUGGUUUUCUAUAAUUUAUAGACCAUGUCUUCUUACAAUCAAAGAUUCUUUAAGUUUUCCUUUUGUUUUCUGUAGGAAAACUGUUUUAGAGAUCUGCUCCUUUUCGGAGUCAUUUCCAUUCAUUUCCACUCAAUUGAGGGACUAUCUGGGAAACUAAUGAUGCCCUUGGAAUAUUUACCAAGUACAUGGCAAUUAACAAAUAUGUCAACAUAUGAAUUUCUGCUGUUCUCAUAUAAGUCAACUCCUUUACACUGGAAGGAGAAAGGUGAGUUUUUGUUUUCUAAGGUCUUAAUUCUCUUACGUCCACUGAGGUGCAAACAGCCCCUUCAUGCUGAAGGAGCCUUCUCAGAAAUUGCCUCCAUAUAAGCCUUUGUUUGGGAAUUCUGGGACCUUCCAGGAAGGGUGCAGAAUUUUUCAAGAAUGGGGGAGAACUGAAGAUGGGGUAGGAAAAAUGGUGGAAUGAGACGAACAUCAUUACCCUAGGUACAUAUAUGACUGUGUAUGUGGUACAACUCUACAUCAUGUACAACCAGAGAAAUGAAGAGUUGUGCUCCAUUUGUGUACAAUGAAUCGAAAUGCAUUCUGCUGUCAUGUAUAACUAAUUAGAACAAAUUAAAAUAAAAAAAUGAACGGGGAGAAUAG
rnacentral:lncRNA from 1 species